rnacentral:lncRNA from 1 species
UUAGCUCAGUGGUUCUGGUGCCUGCCUCGAAAGCGCAAGGUCCUAAGUUCGAUCCCUGGUACCAAAACGAAGAGCUUACCUAGAAGCAGUUGAAAUGGUAGGGCUGGAGGAUAAGAUGGUGAAUCAUUGUUCUUGACCAGUAGCAGCAGCCUGUGCCUGGGCGCGUCGCGCUCGCCCAGAGGCCUGGCGGUGCGCACCUCGCCGUUGUGCGCCCACACGCUGAACAGCCCGGGCUCGGUGGCCUUGAGCAGCUGGUAGGACAGCCAGGCGUUCUGGCCGGCGUCUGCGUCCACCGCCACCACCUUGAGCUCCUUCUGUUACUAGCCUGUAGAAAUUCUCAACGGAAGGUUUCAGCGUGAAUGGAAUGUCAUCCUGGAUGGAACAAAGCAUUCUUCCAUUUUCUCCAGAGUCUCGAUCCCGAGUCUUAAACAGAGCCACUUCUGUCUCAGGGAAAUUUUCAGGAAUAGGACUGAGGUCUAUCCAGGAAAAGGGCUCAGCAGUACCUCAGGGAGCAAUAGGACUGAGACAGGGAUCGAUGUGUCAGUUGGAUAACCUCUCGGGAUAGGAGGUAAGUAGGAAUAUCUGAAGACUUACUGGUCGGAACUUUAUUUACAGGCUUUUCUCUUCCGCUGGAGAUCUAGGGUUCCUAGCGUUUACAGAGGUCUCUUUUAAAGCCUUAGCCUGCAGCGCCACCAUGCGUUGGUUUUUGCUUAGAAACGAAUUGCUACAUUAAUACUAUUUUUGUAGAAGUCAUUAGAAAUUUGGAAAUUGUUUGGAGGAAGGGAGAUGAUUAAUCACUAAGUCAUGCAAUCAUAAUUGUUCAUUCUUGAAGAAGUACUGAUCUCUAUGUGCCAGGUUCUUGAAAUACAUCAGCAAACAACCUAGACAUCUUCCCUACCUUCUAUAGCCCAUAAUAUAGUUCGGGGGUAUCUGAGGGAAACUGAGCAGUGAAAGAAGACAUGAUAGCAAUCAGUAAUCUUGUAAAAUGAAUAACAUACAUCUAUGUGAUUUCUUAAAAAUGUGUCAUCAAAAAAGAAAUUGAUUCCCCUGGAUGUAGAUUCUAGGCAGCCUAUGUACGACAAGUAUUGAAUUACAUCAAGGAAAAAAUUACAAGUUCAUUCCAGUUAAUGAUAUCCUUUCCACACAGGGUCAAAGAAGUAUAACUUUAUGAAAGUUUCCAAAUAUGAGAAAAUUUAUAUGAGGGCACUUGUCUUAAAUUUUUUUCUCUCCAGCACUUAUCAUCUGAUAUAGCAUAAGUAUACAUAUUUAAUCAUUUGUUUUCAUCAUUUAUAAGUACUAUAACCUUGCUUUUAUCACUGCUACAUCCCAAAUAUCUAAAAUAAUCCCUGGUACAUAGUAGAUGCUCUACAAAUAUUUGUCAAAUCGAUCAGAGGGUAAAUCACAAUUAAUUAAAAAAUUCUGAUAGGGUUCUUCUCCAGUUGCAGUUAUAGUUCUUUAUAUAAGUUAUAUAAACAAGAUGUUGUCUUCUCAAGUACCUAUGUCUAUGACCUUUUGAGGAGUAAUUUAAAACAACUCAUAUUGAUCUAAAAUGUAUUUCCAUUAAAUGACAAAAUACUGUGGCACCUCUUAACCAAAGAAAUACAUUAUAAAAAGAAAUAACAACAAAGUUAUGAUUAUUCCAUGAAUAAGGCAAGCUAGAAACAUUUUCCAUGUCAAGGUUAUUUCACACUAAUGUUAUUUUGACACUAAUGAUAUCUAAAAUCUCUUAUGUGGCAGAAUUUUCUAAGUAUUUCUGUUAAACACUUUGAAAACUGUACCACUGAAAAGAUCUCCCAGUUCUUCUCAAAAUUAUCUAUUUUACCAAAACCUUCUGGUUAUCUCUUCCGCACUAUGAAUGUCAACACCAUUUUUAUUGUAAAUGUUAUAUUAAUAGGAAAAGCCACAAUAAAUAUCUCAAGUCAAUAGUAAGGUCUAACCAAUUCAUGCAAGAAUAUCUAAACAUAAUUUUUAAUAAAAAUUCUCACUUAGCAAUCUUAGUUGGAGGAAGUUUAUUAAAAGAGCAUAUGUUCAAAAAUCUAAGAGAAAGCAGACUUAGGGGGGAAUGAAACAUCUAAAAUAGGAAAAUUUACAAUAAGGUUACCGAUUUGGCAUUGUCCUCUCUCAAUGGAUAGAUUUUCUGUACUUCUCUCCCUGUAUUUAACCAAAUAUGAAAUUACUUUCUUGUAAAGUUUGUACCAGAGAGACUAUAUUAUAUCAGGUCUCUAAACCCAUUAAAAACCCAAGGAUCAGAUUAGCCCAGUUUGGAUUAGACUUGUCUACAACCAGCAGGCUGUAGUUAGUGGCAAAAGCCUACAAUCUCAGCACUCUGGAAGGCUGAGGUAUGAGCAUCACAAGUUUGAUUUCUGCUUGGGCAGCUUAGCAACUUAAGGAGACUUUGUCUCAAAAAAAAAAAAAAAAGGCUGAGGAUGUAGCUUACCAUGGUGGGUACAAAUUUCAGUACAGCCAAAAUUACAGAAAACAGUCUUCAAUAGAUGUUUGUUCUCAUGAGAGGCUGAGAAAUUGGACCAUCACCCUGAAUGGCUUUGA